AAGCCUAGAAAAGAAAAAAAAAGCAGUCAACCACCCCUUUAACUUUUGAAUGGUAACAGUUGAAAUUUUUAAACUGUAUCUUCUUUGUCAAGCCAACACUAAUUCAACAUGUCAAACCAACAUUCAACAUGAUCAUUUAAUUGUGCAUUGUCCAGCCUCCCAUCUGCACUGAGACCUUGUCAUUACCUUUUUUGUACCCCCAUAUUUUUGUUGUUAUUUUAUUUGGAUGUUUUUCAUUAAUUUUGAUGUUGGCUUGGAUUUAGAAUUCAUAUUCAUGUGGACAGUUUUCUAUUAAUCUGAUCAACAACCAAGAAAGAUAAAACCUUUUUUUUUUUCUUUGUUCUUCGCAGUGCCUAUGAAGACCACAGGAAAGCCCAGGAAUGCUGUCGGAAACUUCAAGCAGAGCUGACAGAAUUGCAAAAUGUUGAGGAACCUCACUCAGAAGAUUUGAAACCUUUGGAAGAGGACCUGGAGGAGCUCAGCAGCCGAA